UUGAGUCAUAAACUCAGGUCGGGCUGGCGGAUGCUUUACACAUGCAAGUCGGUGGCAAUACGGACUUUGAUCUACGGGCGAGUGGCGAACCGGAGUGGUAAUGUAUCGGAACGUGCCUAGUAGCGAAGGGAUAACUCGCCGGCAUAACGCAAUACCGCAUACGCCCUUCGGGGAAAGCGGGGGACCUUCGGGCCUCGCACUAUUAAGCGGCCGAUAUCGGAUUAGCUAGUUGGUGAUGCGCGCCGGCUCGCAAGGCGGCGAUCCAUCGCUGGUUUUGAAAGGACGACCAGCCACUGGGACUGAGACACGGCCCGGGCUCUACGGGAGGCAGCGGUGAAAUUUUGGACAAUGGGGAAACCCUGAUCCAGCCAUCCCGCGUGUGCGAUGAAGGCCUUCGGGUUGCAAAACGCCUUUGGCGAAAGAAACGGCGGGAUGGCAUACCCCGUGCAACUGACAUUGCAGAAUAACACCAGCUAUUUACGUGCUGGCAGCCGCGGUAUACGUAGGGUGCAAGCGUUAAUCGGAAUUACUGGGCGUAGCGUGCGCAGGCGGUUCGGAAAAGAAGAUGUGAAAUCCCAGAGCUUAACUUUGGAACUGCAUUUUUAACUACCGAGCUAGAGUGUGUCAGGAGGUGGAAUUCCACGUGUAGCAGUGAAAUGCGUAGUCAUACGGAGGAACACCGAUGGCGGCAGCCUCCUGGGAUAACGACGCUCAUGCACGAAAGCGUGGGAGCAAACAGGAUUAGAUACCCUGACAGUCCACCUAACGAUAUCAACUGUGUUGGGCCUUUAGACUGGUAACGCAACUAACGCGUGAAGUUGACCGCCUGGGGAGUACGGUCGCGGACAAAACUCAAGGAGUGACGCGGGGACCCGCACAAGCGGUGGAUGAUGUGGAUUAAAUUGAUGCAACGCGAAAAACCGCCCCUACCCUUGACAUGUCUGGAAUCCCGAAGAGAUUUUGGGGUGCUCGCAAGAGAGAACCGGAACACAGGUGCUGCAUGGCUGUCGUCAGCUCGUGUCGUGAGAUGUUGGUUGAUCCGCAACGAGCGCAACCCUUGUCAUUAGUUGCUACGGGCACUCAACAGUUGGUGACAAACCGGAGGAAGGUGGGGAUGACUGUCAAGUCUCCCUUGGGCCUUAUGGAGUAGGCUACACGUCACCGUGGUCGGGACAGAGGGUCGCCAACCCGCGAGGGAGCCAAUCCCAGAAACCCGAUCGUAGUCCGGAUCAUGAUCUGCAACUCGGCCACGUGAAGUCGAAUCGCUGGUAAUGCGGGUCGGCAUGUCAUGGUGAAUACGUUCCGGGUCUUUGUACUGCCGUCACCUGCUGGGGUGGUUUUACCAGAAGUAGUUAGCCUAACCGCGGGCGAUUGCCACGGUGGAUUCGACUGGGGUGAAGUCGUAACAAGGUAA
rnacentral:rRNA from 1 species